rnacentral:rRNA from 1 species
AUUGAACGCUGGCGGCAUGCCUUACACAUGCAAGUCGAACGGCAGCACGGGAGCAAUCCUGGUGGCGAGUGGCGAACGGGUGAGUAAAGUAUCGGAACGUGCCCAGUCGUGGGGGAUAAAGUAGCGAAAGUUACGCUAAUACCGCAUACGAUCUAUGGAUGAAAGCGGGGGAUCGCAAGACCUCGCGCGAUUGGAGCGGCCGAUAUCAGAUUAGGUAGUUGGUGGGGUAAAGGCUCACCAAGCCGACGAUCUGUAGCUGGUCUGAGAGGACGACCAGCCACACUGGGACUGAGACACGGCCCAGACUCCUACGGGAGGCAGCAGUGGGGAAUUUUGGACAAUGGGCGAAAGCCUGAUCCAGCCAUGCCGCGUGCAGGAUGAAGGCCUUCGGGUUGUAAACUGCUUUUGUACGGAACGAAAAGGUUUGGCCUAAUAAGCUGAGCUCAUGACGGUACCGUAAGAAUAAGCACCGGCCAACUACGUGCCAGCAGCCGCGGUAACAC